rnacentral:rRNA from 1 species
GAUGAACGCUGGCGGCGUGCCUAAUACAUGCAAGUCGAGCGAACAGACGAGGAGCUUGCUCCUCUGACGUUAGCGGCGGACGGGUGAGUAACACGUGGAUAACCUACCUAUAAGACUGGGAUAACUUCGGGAAACCGGAGCUAAUACCGGAUAAUAUGUUGAACCGCAUGGUUCAAUAGUGAAAGACGGUUUUGCUGUCACUUAUAGAUGGAUCCGCGCCGCAUUAGCUAGUUGGUAAGGUAACGGCUUACCAAGGCAACGAUGCGUAGCCGACCUGAGAGGGUGAUCGGCCACACUGGAACUGAGACACGGUCCAGACUCCUACGGGAGGCAGCAGUAGGGAAUCUUCCGCAAUGGGCGAAAGCUUGACGGAGCAACGCCGCGUGAGUGAUGAAGGUCUUCGGAUCGUAAAACUCUGUUAUUAGGGAAGAACAAAUGUGUAAGUAACUAUGCACGUCUUGACGGUACCUAAUCAGAAAGCCACGGCUAACUACGUG